rnacentral:rRNA from 1 species
UACCGACGGCCCGAGUGGUAGCCACUCUUAUUGGGCCUAAAGCGUCCGUAGCCGGUCCAGUAAGUCCCUGUUUAAAUCCUGCGGCUUAACCGCAGGACUGGCAGGGAUACUGCUGGACUUGGGACCGGGAGAGGUGAGAGGUACCUCAGGGGUAGGGGUGAAAUCUUGUGAUCCCUGAGGGACCACCAGUGGCGAAGGCGUCUCACUAGAACGGGUCCGACGGUCAGGGACGAAAGCUGGGGGCACGAACCGG